GGAAGACAUAUUUUUUCAGAAAAAAUCAGCAUAAACAUCAAUAUCCAAACAAUCUGAGAUAUCGAAGAAACUUGAAAUAAAAUCACCUCAACUCAACACAACGAUAGCAGAAGAAGUUCAAAAACAAAACGAACAGAAAGAGGGAGAGGAAUAUACCGUGAUCGAUAUCCCGUCGGAGUUGUCGUCGUCAAUUUGAGGUGGUUUUCAUUUCUUCCUGUCUUUUGCUUCGAUAUUGUUGUUGCUUGAUAUCGUUUCAGAUAAUAUUGUCCAUAUCAUAUCUUUGCUUGUGUGAGGAACGAGUUUAGGUGUCGGUUUUGAAUCGGCUAACAAUAUUUCCAACUUUUGUAUGAUUCUGUGAUCUAUUUGAGAUGAGAGAGAUUUAGAGAAGAGAGAGAAGAGAGAAGGCGAUUAAACAAGGAAAUGUUUGAUAUUUCAUGUGGUUUCAUUACUUUUUAUUAUUAUUUUAUUUUCCUUCUUUUAAUAUCUUUUAAAUAUUCAUUUGUCAUAAUUGUGUUAAAUAUUGAUUUAGUGCUAAUUAAAAUAUGAAUUCAUCAAUGUUUUUUUUAUGGGAAGAAGAGCUCACGGUGGACGGUUGGUUUCCAUCUUCUUUAACGUUUUUAUUUAUUUUCUAUCAAUUAAUGUAUUGAUCGAUGAUAAUCAAAAAAUAUGACUUCUUUUUUUUAGGAAAAUUUAAGUUUUAACAGAAAAAAUAGAUAU
rnacentral:lncRNA from 1 species